CUGAGGGCAAAUGAUAUGCUGUUUAUUGACCUCAUUUACCUCUAGUAAAGGAGGUAAGUGAACAAACCUGUUUUUGGCUAAGACACUAAAACUAGAGUGUCCAAAGGAAGUAUCACUUUAGCCUUGGUGAUGGCAGGCAGGCCAUUUGGGGAUAUAGUUGAUAAGGAACUAAAUAACUGGCAAAAGAUGGAAACUGGAAUCUUUUUUUUUUUUUAAGGCAGGAAAAUUCCAAGGCAAAGAAUCUUUCGCAUUUAUGUCCUUGGUUCAAACUCUAAAGAACUACAGGUCAAAAUGUAGUGACAUACAAUCUCUUUGAGAUUUAGUUGAGUUUGAUUCCCUGGGAAGUUAGUUUUCUUCAUUUAGAAGCUGCUAAUUGCAGGCCAAGGUCCACAUCUGGUGGCUCUAUUGCCUUGGCAUAUACUGACACAUUAAAAAAAAUUUUUGUUGUUGGCUGCGCUGGGUCUUCGUGGCUGUGCUCCGGCUGUGCUCUGGCUUUCUCAAUUUGUGCUGAGUGGGGGCACUCCGACUCCUCAUUGCAGCGGCUUCUCACGUUGCAGGACAUGGGCUCCAAGGUGCUUAGGCUUCAGUAGUUGUGGCUCCCCUGCUCUAGAGCCCAGGCUUAGUGGUUGUGACACAUGGGCUUAGCUGUUCCAUGGCAUGUGGGGUCUUCCCAGACCAGGGAUCGAACCAGUUUCCCAUGCAUUGCAAAGUGGAUUCUUAACCACUGGACCACCAGGGAAGCCCCUACAAUUUUUAAAAUGAGUUAACAGACAACACUUAAAAGUUGAGAGGUUGUACAAAAAUGUCUUGUCACUUGUUCUAAAUUCAAAAGAUAUGGUAACACUGGGCAUUCAAACUGGCAAUUGUUUCAGUUGAAUAGCAACUGUUCCCUGUAGACAGGGCCUGUGCUCUCUGGUUCCAAGUUUCCUAGACUCCCUAUUGUCCCCCAGACACUGAGGCCCAGUGCCACACACCAGAAACCAUCAAGUUUGGGCUGCUCUUCUUACAUCCCUCCCGUUUUUUUUUUUUUCCUGCACUAUGAGGCAUGCAGGGUGAUCCCCAAGCGGGGAUUGAACUGUGCCCCCAGCAAUGGAAGGGUGGAGUCUUAACCAUUGGACCACCAGGGAAGUCCCAUCUCUCUCCUUUAAAAAAAAAAAAAAUUUGGCUGUGUUGGUUCUUAGUUGGAGCACACAGGAUCUUUCGUUGCGGCACACAGGCUAAGUGAGGGCUCAGUACUUGUGGCGCGAGGCAUGUGGGCUCUUAGAUCUCUGACCAGGGAUCAAACCUGUGUCCCCUGAACUGGAAGGCUGAUUAACCACUGGACCACAAAGAAAGUCUCUCAUCCCUCCCUUUUAAUCACUUAUGUUACUCACCCAGACUCCUGUAUUUGUGAGUACUUUUUC
rnacentral:lncRNA from 1 species